GAUUCAUAUACAUAAUAUACUAUCAAUAAUAAGUUUUAAAAAUAUUUAAUGACAUUAUGCCAUCAUGAUUACAAUAACAUAAUUUGGAAAUAUCAAUACAUGUACUACUAUAACUUGUUGAUUCGUGAUAUAUUUAUCAUAUAUAUAAUGUAACACUUAACAAGUCGUUUUAAAAAAACGGACCGCAAUAUUAUACAAAUCGCUUAUGUUAAAAAAAAUCAGGCAAUAUGUGCAUAAUAUAAAAGGUACAAGAAUAAAACUGAAACGUGGUCCAAAUACGAUGUACAUGAAAUAUGAAGUUUACAUUAUGACAUGUGAUUAUCUUGAUUUUAAACGAUAACGGCUUAAAAAAAUCACCUCAUAUAAGCAUUGAGGUAUAAUAACUAAGUGUUUUCUAUCAAUUGAAAGAAAGAAUUAAAAUUAACAUUGUACAAGUCUUGAACGCCUUUUCAUAAUACAUGCUCAGGAAAUGUGCAAUGUAAAUCUUUAAUGAAAUAUACAAGAUGGUUUUGAUUGAAAAAAUUAUUUAUUUAUUGUAGACUAUCAAAAUUUAACAUUGUCCUUUCAUUUUUUUCUUUCCAUCUUCGCAAUUAUAUUGCCAAUGAACUAUAUCACAUUUUUAUUUUUCAUAUUAUUGUCAAAUCGAUGUGUUUACAGAAAAAAAUAAUCGACAAUUUUUGGUUUACUUUAGUUUUGAAAUUCUG
rnacentral:lncRNA from 1 species